rnacentral:rRNA from 1 species
UACGGGGGGGGCAAGCGUUGUUCGGAAUUACUGGGCGUAAAGGGCUCGUAGGCGGCCAACUAAGUCGGACGUGAAAUCCCUCGGCUUAACCGGGGAACUGCAUCCGAUACUGGAAGGCUUGAGUUUGGGAGAGGGAUGCGGAAUUCCAGGUGUAGCGGUGAAAUGCGUAGAUAUCUGGAGGAACACCGGUGGCGAAGGCGGCAUCCUGGACCAACACUGACGCUGAGGAGCGAAAGCCAGGGGAGCAAACGGGG